rnacentral:lncRNA from 1 species
CAGUGACUUCAGUGAAACCAGGCCUAAAGGAUGCUCUUCAGUUCACAUCUCACUCCUCAGCAGCAUUCUUCACCGCUUGCCGCUCUAUCGUUUUGAAAUACCUGUAACAAGCAUGCUGCCUUGGUUUCCCUCCUAAAUGACCUCUGCUCCCUCUCCUCUCAAUAUCUUUCUCUCUUCCCCCCUGCCCCGCCGAGGUUGAGUAUCAUUAUAAUAUCAUUGUCUACCUAUUAUUGAAUGUUAGCAUUUCCCAAAGCUAGACCUAGUUCUGUUCCAUUCUCAACCUACAAUCUUUUCCUAAGCUAUUUCAUUCAUGUACAUAGUUUGAAUUGUCCUUUUAUGUAAUAUUAUAGAUGAUUCAAAAAUUUAUCUGAGCUCCCAUCACGUCUAUCUACCUGUUAACUUGAUAUUUCUACUUAUAUCUUUCUAAGCCAUCUCAAACUCAACUCGAACUAGACCAAACUUACCUAUCUACCUAGUCCAGCUGUACCAUAAACUUUGAUGCCUUAUUCUUCUUGAUGCCUCAUCCACAUUAACUCCACUUAUCACCAUAUUUUCACCUCAAACACCUCUGUGAUCUCUCCCCUCCUCUCUCUAUUGCCGCCAUCCUAAUGCAAGCUGUCAUCAUCUCUUUCUUGGCCAACUGUAGUAGAUGUAGUCUCAUCCAUUGUGGUUCUUUCUAGUCUGUCUGGGACUCAUGACAUCGUGCUUUUGGGAAACAGAAGUGAUAUCAUGUUACCCCCACCAGGUUAUCCUUGCUUGCCUUCUCAUUGCUGUAAGGAUAAAGACCACAGACCCUCACAUGGAUUUUACCUCCCUGGGCUACCCCAUUUGGCAGCUCCCCCGUGUGUUCUCCCUUCCUUUCCUCUGAGAGGUGAAUUGUGCCUUGUUCCCUCCUGCUAUGGGGCUUUGCACUUGUUUCUUGCCCUUCCUUCAUCAACUUGUUAUCUAACUCUAUCCUGUGCUUUAGAUCUUAACACAAGUGUCAUUUCCCUGACUCCAUGGAGAUGGGGUCGAGAUUUGUAGGCUUUGCUUAUUCUUCAUAGUCCUUUAGGUUUACAUUUAAUUUUGUGAGGAUUUGAUUAAUAUCUCAGUAACCAUGAUAGCAAGAAUAUCUUUUUGUUUUUGUUUUUGUUUUUUCACCAUUUUAACUUUGGUGCUGAAAAAUACUUGUCAUAUAGUUAGGACUCACAUAUUCAUGAAUGAAUGAAUGAAUGAAUGAAUGAAUGAACAUAGAUUGAGUUUUGAGCCCUGCACUUAACACGUUCUUUUUGUGUGACCUUGGACAAGCUUUUAUAGAGCAUUUGCUAAUAGUGGCAGAACUAUUUAUACGAUUAUGAUAAUCUGUCAAGAGGAUUAUGCAAAGUAUCUCCCCCCACCCCUUCUCUAAAGCAGAGUUAAAUUGAACACUGUAAAGGACAUUUUCAUAACCAAGGAUUUUUACCAAUUAUUUACUGUGGAUUUAAAUUGAUACUGAAUGACUGGAGGCAUUGAUUUUUAAAGCUGGAAAUAUUUACAAACCAUCCAAUUCUUUUUCCUUAGUAUUUUGUCUCUAGUUACUUCGAAAUCUCUCUCCUCUCUCUCUCUACACACACACACACACACACACACACACACACACACACACACACACACACAGAGAUGUAAAACAUACACAUAGAAAGACUUUAAGGAAAGACAUCAAAAUGGUAAAAGUCAUUAUACCUGGUUGGUUGAAUUGAAGUUAUUUUAUACUUCUUUAUACUUGCUUUCUUCAUGGGGAAAGUAUUUUUAUGAUCAAUAAAAAUAUUUUUCUGUAAUAUGUAUGUACUACUUUACAAUAUUAAAGCACUUUCACAUUUUUCCAAAAAUUAAAAGCACAGUGAAAUUUGCACAUUGAGAAACAUUUGGAGCCAAUUAAAUGCCACUUAUGUUUCUCUAAAAAAAAGGAAACUACUUUUAUUCAUGUAAUUAAGAGCCCCACUCAUGAACAUUAAAGAAUUGUUGCCCACUGUACUUUUGGUAUAUGUAGAAAUAUAAAACCAAAAAUGUAUAGUAUAAAAAUAAAAAAUAUACAAAAAGUAAAAAUAUACCAAUAACCCAGUAAAACAGGAUUUUGAUUGGUAUUUGGAGAAAUU